AAUAAGUACAGCCAUGAGUUUCCGCGCCCAACUUUGAUCGUCCGUUUUAUUUGAGAUUUUUUUAUAAUUAGCAUUUUUAUUGUUAUAAGAUGAUAAAACAUGACUUAUGUUUUUAAUUUUUUUCAAAAAAAAUUUAAAUAAGAUGAAUGGUCAAAGUUGGACGCUGAAAACCAUGUACUUAUU
rfam:Oryza glumipatula chromosome 1, whole genome shotgun sequence.